rnacentral:rRNA from 1 species
CCGUAACUAUAACGGUCCUAAGGUAGCGAAAUUCCUUGUCGGGUAAGUUCCGACCCGCACGAAAGGCGUAAUGAUUUGGGCACUGUCUCGACAAUGCACCCGGUGAAAUUGAAAUACCAGUGAAGAUGCUGGUUACCUGCGCCAGGACGGAAAGACCCCAUGGAGCUUUACUCCAGCUUGAUACUGGGAUUCGAUAUUGCAUGUACAGGAUAGGUGGGAGACUGAGAACUGAUGACGCCAGUUGUCAGGGAGUCACUGUUGGGAUACCACCCUUGUAGUAUUGGAUUUCUAACCAGCAGCCGUGAACCGGCUGGGGGACAAUGUCAGGUGGGGAGUUUGACUGGGGCGGUCGCCUCCGAAAGGGUAUCGGAGGCGCUCAAAGGUUCCCUCAGAAUGGUUGGAAACCAUUCGAAGAGUGCAAAGGCAGAAGGGAGCUUGACUGCGACACCGACGGGUGGAGCAGGUACGAAAGUAGGACUUAGUGAUCCGGUGGUAUAAAGUGGGAUUGCCAUCGCUCAACGGAUAAAAGCUACCCUGGGGAUAACAGGCUUAUCACUCCCAAGAGUUCACAUCGACGGAGUGGUUUGGCACCUCGAUGUCGGCUCAUCGCAUCCUGGGGCUGAAGUAGGUCCCAAGGGUUGGGCUGUUCGCCCAUUAAAGCGGUACGCGAGCUGGGUUCAGAACGUCGUGAGACAGUUCGGUCCCUAUCCGGCGUGGGCGUAGGAUAUUUGAGAGGAGCUGCCCUUAGUACGAGAGGACCGGGGUGGACUGGCCGCUGGUGGAUCUGUUGUAUUACCAAAUGCAUGGCAGAGUAGCCAAGCCGGGAAGGGAUAAACGCUGAAGGCAUCUAAGCGUGAAGCCCCCCUCAAGAUGAGAUAUCCCAUAACGUCAAGUUAGUAAGACCCCUUGAAGACGACAAGGUAGAUAGGACAGAGGUGGAAGUGCAGUAAUGUAUGCAGCUGACUGUUACUAAUCGGUCGAGGGCAUAACCAA